rnacentral:rRNA from 1 species
AAUCUUGCACAAUGGGGGAAACCCUGAUGCAGCGACGCCGCGUGAGCGAUGAAGCCCUUCGGGGUGUAAAGCUCUUUCGGCAGGGAAGAAAAAUGACGGUACCUGCAGAAGCAGCUGCGGCUAACUACGUGCCAGCAGCCGCGGUAAUACGUAGGCAGCGAGCGUUGUUCGGAGUUACUGGGCGUAAAGGGUGUGUAGGCGGUCCCCUAAGUUUGGUGUGAAAUCUCCCGGCUCAACCGGGAGGGUGCGCCGAAAACUGGAGGACUAGAGUGCGGGAUGGGAGAGUGGAAUUCCUGGUGUAGCGGUGAAAUGCGUAGAUAUCAGGAGGAACACCGGUGGUGUAGACGGCUCUCUGGACCGUAACUGACGCUGAGACACGAAAGCGUGGGUAGCAAAC